GACGAACGCUGGCGGCGUGCUUAACACAUGCAAGUCGAACGGAAAGGCCCUGCUUUUGUGGGGUGCUCGAGUGGCGAACGGGUGAGUAACACGUGAGUAACCUGCCCUUGACUUUGGGAUAACUUCAGGAAACUGGGGCUAAUACCGGAUAGGAGCUCCUGCUGCAUGGUGGGGGUUGGAAAGUUUCGGCGGUUGGGGAUGGACUCGCGGCUUAUCAGCUUGUUGGUGGGGUAGUGGCUUACCAAGGCUUUGACGGGUAGCCGGCCUGAGAGGGUGACCGGCCACAGUGGGACUGAGAUACGGACCAGACUCCUACGGGAGGCAGUAGUGGGGAAUAUUGCAGAAUGGGCGGAAGCCUGAUGCAGCAACGCCGCGUGCGGGAUGACGGCCUUCGGGUUGUAAACCGCUUUCGCAUGUGACGAAGCGUGAGUGACGGUAAUGGGUAAAGAAGCACCGGCUAACUACGUG
rnacentral:rRNA from 1 species